rnacentral:lncRNA from 10 species
CGCGGCCGAGGCAUACGGCCAGAGGCUUGGCCUCGCUGCGACCCUUGAGGCGGUACACAGCGCGCAGAGCCGCCGAGCAGCUCGCCGCGCAGGCCAGGCCGUACAGCGUAUCGGUGGGGACGGCCACCACGGCGCCGGCGCGCAGCUCGGCCACGGCGGCCCGCAGCGCCUCGGUCCAGCCGGCGCGCUCCGGGCUCGCGGCCUGCACGGCCCCGCUCCCCGGGAGCCGCAACAGCCGGGCGCCGGGGGCCGCCGGAGCGGGACUCGGCGGGCGGAAGAGGCGACCGCUCCGGGAGCCAGCAGGCCCCUCGCUCAACCCCACGCUGGCAGCCACCGCGGCCCUCAUCCCCCUGCACCGACGCGCCGGAGACAUCCGCCCAGGCCCGCUUCCGGGAGGAAGUGACGCUCCCAGCCAGCUUCCGGUCCAGGAGACUCGGCCCCGCCUCUGCGCCGGGCAGCUUAAAGGGACCACGACCCCCAGGAGGAUUGAAGGAGACCGGCUGCCGGCGUGGACCGCGGGAAGGCGGGGCUGGGGCUCGGCGGGAGGCCACCCCCACAGCCGCCCCGGGAGGAGCGCGCCCAGCAGCUGCUGGACGCGGUGGAGCAGCGGCAGCGGCAGCUCCUGGACACCAUCGCAGCCUGCGAGGAGAUGUUACGGCAGCUGGGCCGCCGGCGCCCGGAGCCGGCUGGUGGCGGGAACGUCUCAGCCAAACCUGGAGCGCCCCCCCAGCCGGCUGUCUCCGCCAGAGGCGGCUUUCCAAAGGAUGCUGGCGAUGGAGCUGCGGAGCCCUGACCAUCCCCGAGCAGAAUACCCUGACUUCUCUCCCUCCCCAGGGCCGGUGGCUGGACUCUGAACAACUCCCUUCAGUAAAGGGGCCAGUCUUCACUGGCAGUGGCUGGUACUUGGCUCUCAGCCUGGAGUGGCAGCUCUGCUAGCAGCUGGGUUCACUCCCACUUCAUCCUGGCUGAAAGCAGUGCUGUGCUUUGAAAUGCAGCCAAUGAAUACCCAGUCUGAUUACCCAGAUUUGGGCAGACCAGCAGUGCUCGCCAGAGUGGUCUGGCCUGCUAUGGGGGAUCCAGGUGGUGUUACAUGUCCAUUUCAUGUUUUGGGGGCUUUUAGCCCCACAAAACACCUUCAGUAGAGCCUUGAUUAAAAGGAAACCUGCAGACUCUC